rnacentral:rRNA from 1 species
ACGCUGGCGGCAGGCUUAACACAUGCAAGUCGAACGGUAACAGGAGAAAGCUUGCUUUCUUGCUGACGAGUGGCGGACGGGUGAGUAAUGCUUGGGAAUCUGGCUUAUGGAGGGGGAUAACGACGGGAAACUGUCGCUAAUACCGCGUAGAGUCGAGAGACGAAAGUGCGGGACCGCAAGGCCGCAUGCCAUAGGAUGAGCCCAAGUGGGAUUAGGUAGUUGGUGGGGUAAUAGCCUACCAAGCCGACGAUCUCUAGCUGGUCUGAGAGGAUGACCAGCCACACCGGGACUGAGACACGGCCCGGACUCCUACGGGAGGCAGCAGUGGGGAAUAUUGCGCAAUGGGGGCAACCCUGACGCAGCCAUGCCGCGUGAAUGAAGAAGGCCUUCGGGUUGUAAAGUUCUUUCGGUAUUGAGGAAGGUUGUUGUGUUAAUAGCACGACGAAUUGACGUUAAAUACAGAAGAAGCACCGGCUAACUCCGUGCCAGCAGCCGCGGUAAUACGGAGGGUGCGAGCGUUAAUCGGAAUAACUGGGCGUAAAGGGCACGCAGGCGGACUUUUAAGUGAGGUGUGAAAUCCCCGGGCUUAACCUGGGAAUUGCAUUCCAGACUGGGAGUCUAGAGUACUUUAGGGAGGGGUAGAAUUCCACGUGUAGCGGUGAAAUGCGUAGAGAUGUGGAGGAAUACCGAAGGCGAAGGCAGCCCCUUGGGAAUGUACUGACGCUCAUGUGCGAAAGCGUGGGGAGCAAACAGGAUUAGAUACCCUGGUAGUCCACGCUGUAAACGCUGUCGAUUUGGGGAUUGGGCUUUAAGCUUGGUGCCCGAAGCUAACGUGAUAAAUCGACCGCCUGGGGAGUACGGCCGCAAGGUUAAAACUCAAAUGAAUUGACGGGGGCCCGCACAAGCGGUGGAGCAU